rnacentral:misc_RNA from 1 species
AAAAAGAUCUGGCAUAUAUUCCUGAUACUUCUUUGAUGAAUUCGUAGAGUUAGGUCUCUUCGUACCUGAUGUAUGUAAUAGCUAUAAAAACAGAGGACAAAAGAAGAGGGCAAUUUUAUCUAUACAGUUUUGCUCAAGCACAAAUCUUGCCCGUCUAAAGAGUGAGUUUAUAAGGUGAAUGGAUUUGGAGGUUGGUGAACAAUUGGAGUCUUUGACAUGGAGACAUUGCCCAACUGCACACUGGGUGCCACUGUGUCCUCGAUAGUUAUCGGAUCAACCUGCACAAUUUUCUCUGGCACAACUUUGUCACCAUCUACCUUUGCCAGAACUUCAAAAUGCAUCCUUACUGUUUCAGGCUUAGUUCUCCACUCUGGAUAACCCUCCAAAUUGAACCCAUCUCCUUCCUUCAACUUCUUCUCAACUCCAAAACCAAUCUUCACAAAAGUCUGGGCUGAUACAUCUGCCUUUAACAACUUGAAAGAACCUUUUUUACCUGCUUUAGGACCCAGUAUAUUAGAAAGCAAGGCCUCAAAACCAAGCAAGUUCGAGUUUGAACCAUUGAUAGAUGUAACAGGCCACAAUGUAGUGAAUUGAUUGGGUGUAAGAAGUGCAGUGGUUUCUCCCUGGAGAUCAAUAGUGGAGAUGGCGUCCAUGGCUUUCAAUUUUGAUACUGAUGACAACUCAACAAGACCAGGUGCAAGCCGUUUAAGCUUAAGUUUGUUUGCAGAAGGGGCAGAUGGUGAGGUGGGGGAUGUAAGAGAUGUAGGACCAACAAUUCUAAGAGAGAGGAGAGG